AGAGUUUGAUCCUGGCUCAGGAUGAACGCUGGCGGCAUGCCUAAUACAUGCAAGUCGAACGAGGAUCCUUCGGGAUCCUAGUGGCGAACGGGUGAGUAACACGUAGGGAACCUGCCCGCGCACCGGGAAUACGCUCUGGAAACGGAGAACAAAUCCCGAUGUGCAGGAAGGAGGCAUCUUCUUUCUGUGAAACAUCCUGUAAGGGAUGGGGCGCGGAUGGACCUGCGGUGCAUUAGUUGGUUGGCGAGGGUAAAGGCCCACCAAGACGAUGAUGCAUAGCCGGCCUGAGAGGGCGGACGGCCACAUUGGGACUGAGACACGGCCCAGACUCCUGCGGGAGGCAGCAGUAGGGAAUUUUCGUCAAUGGGCGCAAGCCUUAACGAGCGAUGCCGCGUGAGUGAAGAAGGCCUUCGGGUCGUAAAGCUCUGUUGCGGGGGAAAAAAGGCAUCUGCAGGAAAUGGUAGAUGACAGAUGGUGCCCCGCCAGAAAGUCACGGCUAACUACGUGCCAGCAGCCGCGGUAAUACGUAGGUGGCGAGCGUUAUCCGGAAUGAUUGGGCGUAAAGGGUGCGCAGGCGGUCCUGCAAGUCUGGAGUGAAACGUAUGAGCUCAACUCAUGCAUGGCUCUGGAAACUGGAGGACUGGAGAGCAGGAGGGGGCGGUGGAACUCCAUGUGUAGCGGUAAAAUGCGUAGAUAUUCGGAGGAACACCGGUGGCGAAGGCGGCCAACUGGGCUUUAACUGACGCUGAGGCUCGAAAGUGUGGGGAGCAAACAGGAUUAGAUACCCUGGUAGUCCACACUGUAAACGAUGAUAACUAGGUGUGGGGGGUCUGACCCCUUCCGUGCCGCAGCUAACGCAAUAAGUUAUCCACCUGGGGAGUACGACCGCAAGGUUGAAACGCAAAGGAAUUGACGGGGACCCGCACAAGCAGUGGAUUAUGUGGUUUAAUUCGAAGCAACGCGAAGAACCUUACCAGCACUUGACAUCCAACUAACGAAAUAGAGAUAUAUUAGGUGCCCUUCGGGGAAAGUUGAGACAGGUGGUGCAUGGUUGUCGUCAGCUCGUGUCGUGAGAUGUUGGGUUAAGUCCCGCAACGAGCGCAACCCCUGCCAUUAGUUGCUACGCAAGAGCACUCUAAUGGGACCGCUACCGACAAGGUGGAGGAAGGUGGGGACGACGUCAAAUCAUCAUGCCCCUUAUGUGCUGGGCUACACACGUAAUACAAUGGCCGUUAACAAAGGGAAGCAAUACCGCGAGGUGGAGCAAAACCCCAAAUCGGUCUCAGUUCGGACUGCAGGCUGCAACCCGCCUGCACGAAGUUGGAAUUGCUAGUAAUCGCGGAUCAGCAUGCCGCGGUGAAUACGUUCCCGGGUCUUGCACUCACCGCCCGUCA
rnacentral:rRNA from 1 species